rnacentral:piRNA from 1 species
UACACCGAGCUCCCUUGGGAUGAGUCCAAGU